CCUACGGGAGGCUGCAGUGGGGAAUAUUGCACAAUGGGCGCAAGCCUGAUGCAGCCAUGCCGCGUGUGUGAAGAAGGCCUUCGGGUUGUAAAGCACUUUCAGCGGGGAGGAAGGCGUUAAGGUUAAUAACCUUGGCGAUUGACGUUACCCGCAGAAGAAGCACCGGCUAACUCCGUGCCAGCAGCCGCGGUAAUACGGAGGGUGCAAGCGUUAAUCGGAAUUACUGGGCGUAAAGCGCACGCAGGCGGUCUGUCAAGUCGGAUGUGAAAUCCCCGGGCUCAACCUGGGAACUGCAUUCGAAACUGGCAGGCUAGAGUCUUGUAGUGGGGGGUAGAAUUCCAGGUGUAGCGGUGAAAUGCGUAGAGAUCUGGAGGAAUACCGGUGGCGAAGGCGGCCCCCUGGACAAAGACUGACGCUCAGGUGCGAAAGCGUGGGGAGCAAACAGGAUUAGAUACCCCGGUAGUC
rnacentral:rRNA from 1 species